AUUGAACGCUGGCGGCAGGCCUAACACAUGCAAGUCGAGCGGAUGAAGGGAGCUUGCUCCUGGAUUCCGCGGCGGACGGGUGAGUAAUGCCUAGGAAUCUGCCUGGUAGUGGGGGAUAACGUCCGGAAACGGGCGCUAAUACCGCAUACGUCCUGAGGGAGAAAGUGGGGGAUCUUCGGACCUCACGCUAUCAGAUGAGCCUAGGUCGGAUUAGCUAGUUGGUGGGUAAAGGCCUACCAAGGCGACGAUUCGUAACUGGUCUGAGAGGAUGAUCAGUCACACUGGAACUGAGACACGGUCCAGACUACUACGGGAGGCAGCAGUGGGGAAUAUUGGACAAAGGGCGAAAGCCUGAUCCAGCCAUGCCGCGUGUGUGAAGAAGGUCUUCGGAGUGUAAAGCACUUUAAGUUGGGAGGAAGGGCAGUAAGUUAAUACCUUGCUGUUUUGACGGUACCAACAGAAUAAGCACCGGCUAACUUCGUG
rnacentral:rRNA from 1 species